GCCUAGCCCUAAAUCUUGAUACUCUCCCCCACUAAAGUAUCCGCCCGAGAACUACGAGCACAAACGCUUAAAACUCUAAGGACUUGGCGGUGCCCCAGAUCCACCUAGAGGAGCCUGUUCUGUAAUCGAUAACCCACGAUACACCCAACCCCCCCUUGCCAAAACAGCCUAUAUACCGCCGUCGCCAGCCCACCUCUCCUGAGAGUCCAACAGUGAGCGAAAUAGCCCCACCUCGCUAGCAAGACAGGUCAAGGUAUAGCCUAUGGGGCGGAAGAAAUGGGCUACAUUUUCUAAGAUAGACAACUUCACGGAAGGGGACAUGAAACCGUCCCCAGAAGGCGGAUUUAGCAGUAAAGCGGGAUAAUAAAGCCCCCUUUAAACCGGCCCUGAGGCA
rnacentral:rRNA from 1 species